rnacentral:rRNA from 1 species
GACGAACGCUGGCGGCGUGCUUAACACAUGCAAGUCGAACGGACAGGCCCUGCUUUUGUGGGGUGCUCGUUUGGCGAAGGGGUGAGUAAAACGUGAGUAACAUGUCCCUGUCUUUGGGAUAAAUUUAGGAAACUGGGGCGAAAACAGGAUAGGAGCUCCUGCAGCAUGUUGGGGGUUGGAAAGUGUCGGCGGUUGUGGAUGGACUAGAGGGUUACCGGCUUGUUGGUGGGGUAGUGGAUUACCAAGGUUUUGACGGGUAGCCGGCCUGGGAGGGUGAACAGCCACAAUGGGCCUGAGAGACGGCGCAGACUCCUACGGGAGGCAGCAGUGGGGAAUAUUGCACAAUGGGCGGAAGCCUGAUGCAGCAACGCCGCGUGCGGGAUGCCGGCCUUCGGGUUGUAAACCGAUGUCUCCGGUGACGAAGCGUGAGUGACGGUAAUGGGUAAAGAAGCACCGGCUAACUACGUG